rnacentral:misc_RNA from 1 species
GAUACAUAUGUUACAUUGUUGAAAGGUCGUAACGCAUGGUAUGGUCAAAUGAUAGCUAAGGGAGAACUGAGUCUCGAUAUGGGUGAUAGCAUUAGUGGCAAAGGAACAAUCCAGGGAGUUUCUGCUGUCGAAGCAUUCUAUGAACUUCUAAGUCAGUCAAGUUUGAAUGUGUUACAUCCCGGAGAUAAUAAGCCGGUUGCCCCAGUUGAGCUGUGCCCUAUCCUGAAGACUUUAUACAAGAUACUCAUAAAAAGAGAACAAGGGACAAUGGCUAUUCUUCAGGCAUUGAGGGAUGAAAACUUGAACGAUCCGCGCGAUCGGAUUGAGAUUGCACAAAGUCAUGCUUUUUACAGGCCUUCACUUCUUGGACAACCUUGAUCAACAAUUUAUGCACAACAUUUUUAGUAUUUAAAGCAAUGAAUAAGUGUAUAGAGUGGUUCAAAUUGGAUGGAUUGUUUUGUGUGGUGAAGAAAACAUACAUUUCAUACUCAAAUUUGUAUUGAUGAACAUCUUGAUAUUCAUUUGAACUUAAAGCCUAUUGUAUGCUUUGUUCUUUCCAUAAGCCAUUUUAAACUUAC